rnacentral:lncRNA from 1 species
CUCUCUCAUCUGAUUGGUUAACUUCUCUCUCAUCUGAUUGGUUAAUUUUGGUUAAUUCUCAAAACCUUAUCUUGGCAAAAAGAACUUUACUGCCUAUGUAUGCGUGGUGGCCAUCGGUAGCCAGCUCCACCCUGCAACGGCACAUGUGGCUUCCCACAGGGGUUCUCCAACAGGCAAAUAUGAAUCUAGGUGCUUCUGGAAAGGUCCUCCGUGUACUGCUUAAUCUCUCCAGCCAAUAGACAUCAACAGUCUAAACAACGGGAAAGUCUCGAGGUCCCGAGAGCAGAACUGAAAUUCGUCGGAGGAAGAGGUACAGACACAGAGCUUUAGAUCCAGCACCAUGUCUGCCUGCAUGAUGAUGAUGGACUGAGCCUCUGAGAUUGACAUGGAAGAGGAAGUGUAAGUAUCUCAGGAUGGUCUUGACCUGCCAGCCACCCAGG